rnacentral:rRNA from 1 species
UACAGAGGGGGCAAGCGUUGUUCGGAAUUACUGGGCGUAAAGGGCGCGUAGGCGGCCUGCUAAGUCGAACGUGAAAUCCCUGGGCUCAACCCAGGAACUGCGUCCGAUACUGGUUGGCUUGAAUCCGGGAGAGGGACGUGGAAUUCCAGGUGUAGCGGUGAAAUGCGUAGAUAUCUGGAGGAACACCGAUGGCGAAGGCGACGUCCUGGACCGGCAUUGACGCUGAGGCGCGAAAGCCAGGGGAGCAAACGGG